rnacentral:rRNA from 1 species
UACAGAGGGUGCGAGCGUUGUUCGGAAUUAUUGGGCGUAAAGGGCGCGUAGGCGGGCGCCACAAGUCACUUGUGAAAACUCUGGGCUCAACUCAGAGCCUGCAAGCGAAACUGUGGUGCUGGAGUAUGGGAGAGGUGCGUGGAAUUCCCGGUGUAGCGGUGAAAUGCGUAGAUAUCUGGAGGAACACCGGUGGCGAAGGCGGCAUCCUGGACCAAUUCUGACGCUGAGGAGCGAAAGCCAGGGGAGCAAACGGG